UACAGAGGGUGCAAGCGUUAAUCGGAAUUACUGGGCGUAAAGCGCGCGUAGGUGGUUUGUUAAGUUGGAUGUGAAAUCCCCGGGCUCAACCUGGGAACUGCAUUCAAAACUGACAAGCUAGAGUAUGGUAGAGGGUGGUGGAAUUUCCUGUGUAGCGGUGAAAUGCGUAGAUAUCAAGUGGAACACCAGUGGCGAAGGCGAGUCUCUGGACAUUUCCUGACGCCGAGGCACGAAAGCCAGGGGAGCAAACGGG
rnacentral:rRNA from 1 species